CCUGUCGAACUCCUCUCAGCUUUUUGGGUCUUUUAUAUCACAAGUACUCUCACUAGAGUUAAAGCAACGCCAGCUUUAUUAAAGUUGCCUUCAAACACAUGUCCCCAAACUAAUCCCCACCCCUCAGCCUGCUGACUCCAGCAGACAUUAAUGUUCUUAAUGCACAUUCUCAAACUGUUAAUC